AAACGGAUCAACAAGGGCGUGGACGCGUGGCUGGGCAGGGCGGCGCUGGGUAGCUCGUUCCGGCGGUGGUCGCCGGUGUCGAGGUGGCGAGGUGAGACCGGGGUCGGGCGUUGGCUCUCUCGAUCCAGAUGGGAUCGAGGCAGGGCGUGGCGGCUCGGGCACAUCGGGGGGCGGUCGUCAGUCCAAUCUGGAUAGGUUCGUGAAGGUCGACGGCCCUGCCGACGCGAGGGAUCUCGGGUCUCCUUCGCCCUUUGGGAGCUGCCUCUCCUCCCUGCCUUCUUUCCGUGGUGUCAGGGACCAAGGGCCGGAUGCCAGCACGACGGAGCGUACUGCUGUGUGUCCUCUUGGUCCUCAUGUCAUCCACGCGCGUCCUCGGUUCCAGGCUUUCAGCCACCCAUCAUCAAGAUCCGGCGUCCUCUGUCCUUUUUCCGAUUGAUAUACUGGUGCAUGGAUCUAAAUUAUUUGGGAAACGAAGGAACUGUACUCUCGAAUGGGAGAAAGGCCCGAAUAAAUUGGAGACAUAACGAGAGAUGAUGAACAUAAAAAUAGCAUGCAUGUUUUCUCCGGUUGCAACGCAUGAGCAUUUGUGCUAGUCUAUUCCUAAUAAUAAAGCACGGAUUGACUCCAUGGGUUUAUUGUUAUAAUGCACUUCUUUUCAUGAAAUUACGCUUUCAGUUUGAAUUUAACAUAUACGGGAGGUGGCUAAAACCGUUUCGUUCGCUUCUGCCCGCACACCCGGUCGCAGCCGUAUUGCAAAAAGGUCCUCCUGUUUUUAGAAAUUGUACCCGUAGUCCAAGUUAGAAAACAUCUGGGCCGAAGCCAGUGGAGCGACGCCCGUACGCCGCACCCGCCCUAGGCCGAGCUCCCGAGCACGCCGCAGCCUCGACCUUGCGACCCGCCGGCGACCGGAUCCUCGCCGGAGAUGAGUGCCGUCGUGCCCUGCUCCCUCUCCUCUUCCUCUGUCUCCUCUCACCUCGCUCAUCACCCGAUCUCUCUGUCCCCAGGAAGAAUAGGAGCAUGCCAUGGCCUCGGAUCCGCGCCGCCGUCGUCGUAGAACGUCGUCCGCCACCGGUUCUCGGACCACAGUUACUGGAUCAAGUUGCCCCGUCUCCGAUCUACCUCGUCAUCGGGCAUGCACAGAGACGGCUAUGGCCAUCCGAUUCUCGAGCGCCGCCGGCCAAGGUGGCCGCCCGUGGCCGCCUGAUGCACGAGCGCCGCCGGCCAAGGACCCGCCUGCGUCCAGAACCCCUCCACGCAUCAUGUUUUCUAUGGUUUUGUUUUCCCCGCCUCCAUCUCUUCCAUGACAAGCAGCACAAUUUUCUUUGUUUGUAAAUUAAGCAGUCUGGUAGACUUGGAAAGAAAGGAAUUGCAGAUUUCAAAAGGAGGAACAGGGUAUAUACAUCGGCAUAAGAUUUGGAAAGGAGGAACAGGGCGCCGGAGACAGAGGGAUCCGGUGCAGACUCGAUGCCCUCCACCGAAACCCCUACUCAAUUGCUUCUCGUGCUCGAAUUUGACACAGGCGCCAUCGCAGCUAGGGACGCUGAUGUGGAGGCCGGAGACAGAGGGAUCUCGUGUUCAUGGAGGCCGCCAACACAUGGGCCGUGGACACAUCGUAGUGUUCCUUCCAGGGCUCCAGACGUGGAUGGGCGUGGAUUUCUCCCAGGCGAUCGUCGACAGAGCUUGCUCCAGGAGCUCUAGGCGCUGCGAGAUACUCCCAAUUGUGCGCCCUAUUAUUCAAGGAAGUGACAGCCACUGGAAGCACGGAUCGACAAAUUAGACAGUAGACCCAGGCCAUGGAUCGGUUGAUUCAACACCGAAGGAAGAGGCAAUAGGUUAUAAAAACGAGCUGGGGGAUUUUUACUGGCCUGAAUCUUAAACAUGGCCGCCCUGCUGAUGGACUCAAGCUCCAGCUGUCAGAAGUCUACGGACAGUCAAGUAAUAGAUACGAACCCUUGAUUGAAGGAGAACUCUGUGCACUUCUGAUAGCAUCCGGACCGUAAAUCUGUAGCAGGUCCUCAACGAAUCAUUCCAAGGCAUACAUGUAGCAGGUCCUGAACAUAUCAUCCAGACCAUGUUUCACACGUCGUGUGCUUAUGUAAUUCGGUUUUUACAAUACAUCUUUUUUGAUCAAUAAGCAUCUACAUUGUUCUUGUAAUCUAAUUAAAGGCCAACUAUUUCUCUGGCAUAUGGUGAAUUGACCAUGGAAGGAUUUGUCUUGCUAAGCA